UCCAACCACUGUGUUAAAGCACUCUCAACUCCCACUUUUAUCUUUCUCCGUCACCUAAAAACUUUCUCGAGAAAAUCUCAAAUCUGAUUCAGAAUUUAGCUUCACACUUUCUCAAGUCUCUACUUACUUACACUCAAAUUCAUCGAAAAUGACGACGAUUCCGAUGGAUAUCGUCAACGACCUAUUCCUCCGAUUACCAGCAAAAACCCUGGUUCGCUUCCGAGCUCUCUCGAAGCCGUGUUGUCACCUAAUCGACAGUCCCGAUUUCGUCUCUUCUCAUCUCAAUCGCGUCCUCGAAACCGGUGACCACCUCAUGAUCCUUCUAAGAGGCGCUCUUCAUCUCUACACCGUAGAUCUCGAUUCGCUAGACACCGUCUCCGACGUUGAGCACCCGAUGAAACGCGGUGGUCCGACGGAGGUUUUCGGAUCCUCCAACGGUUUAAUCGGAUUAUCGAAUUCCCCAACCGAUUUAGCCAUCUUCAACCCAUCUACUCGCCAGAUCCACCGGUUACCUCCUUCACCUAUCGAUCUCCCCGAUGGUUCGACCACUCGUGGUUACGUCUUCUACGGAUUAGGUUACGAUUCAGUGAAUGACGAUUACAAAGUCGUGAGGAUGGUUCAGUUUAAGCGUGACUCAGAUGAUGAGCUUGGUUGCAGUUUCCCUUACGAGGUUAAAGUAUUUUCCUUAAAGAGAAAUUCAUGGAAGAGAAUCGAUUCGUCUUUUCCCACGAUUCAGCUACUGUUUUAUUUCUAUUACCAUCUGUUGUAUCGUCGUGGUUAUGGUGUUCUUGCUGGUAAUAGUCUUCACUGGGUUUUGCCACGAAGGCCUGGUUUGAUUGCUUUCAAUAUCAUUGUGAGGUUUGAUCUUGCUCUAGAGGAAUUCGAAAUCCUUCGUUUACCUGAAGCUGUAGCGAACGGUGAUGUUGAUAUUCAGAUGGAUAUAGCUGUUUUAGAUGGGUGUCUUUGUUUGAUGUGUAACUACGAUCAGAAACAUGUUGAUGUUUGGAUUAUGAGAGAGUACAAUGUGAGAGACUCUUGGACUAAAGCUUUCACUGUUCAGAAACCGAAAAGCGUGAAAUCGUUUGCGUAUAUGAGACCUUUGGUUUAUUCCAAGGACAGGGAUAAAGUUCUCUUGGAGAUAAACAAUACGAAGCUGGUUUGGUUUGAUCUCGAGACUAGGAAGCUUAGUACACUUAGGAUUAAGGAUUGUCCUAGCUCGUUUAGUGCAGAACUCGUUGUGAGUAGCCUUGUUUUGGGAUGUAAAGGAGAUGUUAAUAACGUAAAGCUCCGCAAAGAACAGCGAGCUAAAGAAGAUAAAUUGAUGAAGAACAGUAACAAAAGGGAUGAUUUCCUGUCCAAGGGAUUCAAGUUGGUCUUAUAAGCAAAAGCAAGAAAAAGGAGGUAAGUGUAAAAUCUUGCCAUUGUUAAUGGUGUUUUAGUUUCUGCUACAUCUUUAUUUUCUUUUCUCUCUUCUCUUAUGUUGCGCGGACGAGCCUUUUUCAUAUUCGGGUGGACACAAAGAGUCAAAGAUAGAGUAUGUCAUAGGGCACGGGGUAACGGGAAGGAGAUAUAGCUUCUACCAAAGCUUUGGAUACGACAGGAGAUAGUAAUAAACAACAAAACCUACGUUUAUGUCCUUAAAGAAGAGACUUUACUUCAAUACGGGAAUUGUACUAGGACCCAAGUUAUAGUAGUGUUGUUUUGUAAAUGAGUGAAAUCUAGAUCACUAUGUAAGUCUUUUGAAGCUUGUUAUAACUUAAUACUAACGCUUUGUACUUGCUUUUAAUCUGCAUAAAUUGACAUGUGAAUGAUUUGUUU